GCUGGGCGUGGUGGCUCAUGCCUGUAAUCCCAGCACUUUGGGAGGCCAAAGUGGGAGGAUUACUUGAGCCCAGGAGUUCAAGACCAGCCUGGGCAAUGUAGUGGGAUUCCAUCUCUACAAAAAAUUUAAAAAUUAGCUGGGAGUGGUGGCGCAUGCCUGUAGUCCCAGUUGUUCAGGAGGCUGAGGUGGGAGGAUAGCGAGAGUCCAGAAGUUUGAGGUUGCAGUGAGCUGUGAUUGUACCACUGCAACUCUAGCCUGGGCAACACAGUGAGACUCUUUCU
rnacentral:sRNA from 10 species